AUUGAACGCUGGCGGCAGGCCUAACACAUGCAAGUCGAGCGAGCGGCGGAAGGGUGAGUAAUGUCUGGGAAACUGCCCGAUGGUGAGGGAUAACUACUGGAAACGGUAGCUAAUACCGCAUACCAUCAGAUGUGCCCAGAUGGGAUGAGCAAGUAGGUGGGGUAACGGCUCACCUAGGCGACGAUCCCUAGCUGGUCUGAGAGGAUGACCAGCCACACUGGAACUGAGACACGGUCCAGACGCCUACGGGAGGCAGCAGUGGGGAAUAUUGCACAAUGGGCGCAAGCCUGAUGCAGCCAUGCCGCGUGUGUGAAGAAGGCCUUCGGGUUGUAAAGCACUUUCAGCGGGGAGGCGUUACCCGCAGAAGAAGCACCGGCUAACUCCGUGCCAGCAGCCGCGGUAAUAC
rnacentral:rRNA from 1 species